GCCAGGCGUGGUGGCACAUGCCUGCAGUCCCAGCUACUCAUGAGGCUGAGGCUGGAGGAUCUCUUGAGUCCAGGAAUUCUGGGCUGUAGUGCACUAUGCAGAUCGGGUGUCCACACUAAGUUCAGCAUCAAUAUGGUGACCGCCCGGGAGCGAGGGACCACCAGGUUGCCUAACGAGGGGUGAACCGGCCCAAGUCAAAAACGGAGCAGGUCAAAACUCCCCUGCUAAUCAGUAGUGGGAUCACACUUGUGAAUGGUCACUGCACUCCAGCCUAGGCAACAUAGCAAGACCCUGUCUCUU
ensembl:misc_RNA Metazoa_SRP Metazoan signal recognition particle RNA